AUGCUUCAUGCUAGUAUGAUUUCUCCAUGCGAUGAUUUACCCAUUUAUGAUGGGUUUGAUGAUUGCCACGAGGAGUCUAUUAGUUGUGAUGCCAUGUUACAUAGGAUUUCUUGUGACAAUUCUUUAGGUCACAUCAUGUUUGACAAUCCGCUUGACUUGUCAUACGCUAUGCAUGAGAUCAAUCAUAUGUUAUAUUUGCAAUCUCUCCAUAGUGACUAUGCAUAUGCCAUUAAGAUUAACCCAAUUUGCACAUAUGGAAUAGAUAGCAAGCACAUGGUUAUUGGCAUUUGUUUUUCUUGUGAUGAUAUUGAUAUGCUCCCUUUGCAUCAUUUAUCUCAUAUGCCAUGCCAUGACCACCUAGCUUCGGAUAUGCAUUGCUUUGGAUGUUGUCCAUUUUCUCCAUAUGAUGUUUCCGAUAUUGCUAAUGAGGAGACCCCCAUAGUUUCCUCAUACAUUCUAGGAGAUUUUGUUUCAUCCCAUCCAUUGCAUGACCCCAAUACUUGA
rnacentral:rRNA from 1 species